AGCAUGGCGCAUUGGAAGUUGGAUGAAAUUACGGAAGAGGAGAGUUAGUUCUGGUUGUAUCCAAGCGGUAAACUCUGUACCAGAAAGUAUCCUAGGUCCCCUGGAAGGGCUAAAUGAGGAAACUUUUCUACUCAAGUAGCUGGGUGCGAAGAUUGGUCCAGACAGUCCAGUUUAAAGAUUCCUACCAUCCUUCCUAACAAGACUAUAGGAAUGAAGAAUCCUGAUUGUGAAACUUUUGGGAACCUGUUGGAACCUUAGCGUUUGAGUGAGCAGUGGGUGGGAUUGAGUGGAGUGCGUGGGUGGAGACUUUCUUAAAGGGUGGCGCGUGUGUGUCCUUAACACGCUUUGGCCGGCCGCGCAUGGAGCAGAGGAUUGCUUCAUUGUGUGACGAAAUGCUGAGGCUGUGGAGAAUAAAAAUUUGAACCCUGCCGACCUAAAAAGGGCUUGGACUGUGCUCACAUAGAACAUCCAGAACACACUAGUGGUUUGUGAGAAGUGGAGGUGAGAAUAGACUGAAAAGCUUUCUGAGCAAACUUCAUCGGAGAUUUUGUUUUUUAAAGCUCCAUGCCCGGCUUUCGCUUUCUUUUAUUGUUGUGAUUUAUAUAGUGUUGACUGUAAACACUAAUAAACGCACACAAACUGCUUACAUAAAA
rnacentral:lncRNA from 1 species